rnacentral:rRNA from 1 species
AACGAACGCUGGCGGCAGGCUUAACACAUGCAAGUCGAGCGCCCCGCAAGGGGAGCGGCAGACGGGUGAGUAACGCGUGGGAAUCUACCCAUCUCUACGGAAUAAUGCAUGGAAACGUGUGCUAAUACCGUAUACGUCCUUCGGGAGAAAGAUUUAUCGGAGAUGGACGAGCCCGCGUUGGAUUAGCUAGUUGGUGGGGUAAAGGCCUACCAAGGCGACGAUCCAUAGCUGGUCUGAGAGGAUGAUCAGCCACACUGGGACUGAGACACGGCCCAGACUCCUACGGGAGGCAGCAGUGGGGAAUAUUGGACAAUGGGCGAAAGCCUGAUCCAGCCAUGCCGCGUGAGUGAUGAAGGCCCUAGGGUUGUAAAGCUCUUUCACCGGUGAAGAUAAUGACGGUAACCGGAGAAGAAGCCCCGGCUAACUUCGUGCCAGCCGCCGCCGUAAAAC